rnacentral:misc_RNA from 1 species
ACUGAAGCUCCACGAAAGCAGAAAGAUGGACUACUUCCGAAAGUAUUUGAGUACACCUCAAGGGACUGCUGGGCAGCCCACGGGUGUUGAAACGGUUGAACGUCUUGUGGAUAGGGUACAGUCUUCUACCUUACUCGAUGACAGAAGAGAUGCAGUCAGGGCACUUAAAGCCAUGUCAAAGAAAUUUCGCUUGGAAGUUGGAACACAAGCAAUGGAUGUAUUGGUACAAACACUGGAGACAGAUAGGAGUGACUCUGAAAUAACAGGAUAUGCACUGGAUGCUCUUUGUAAUGUUUUAUCCAAUGAACCUUUAGAUGAUGACGAUGAAUCCAAUAUGCCAGCUAACCUUCCAGGAGAUUUAGGCGCCCAGUUUACAGAGAUAUUUACUAAAAAACAUGAAAAUGUUUCACUGCUGCUUUCCCUCUUGGAGGAAUAUGAUUUUCAUGUGAGAUGGCCAACAGUAAAGUUACUGACUAUUCUACUGACCAAUAAAGGCAAAGAUUUACAGGAAGCCAUCCUCGUCAGCCCUAUGGGAGUCUCCAAACUAAUGGACUUGUUGUCCGACAGCAGAGAAAUCAUCCGCAAUGAUGCAUUGCUGUUACUAACCCAGCUAACCAAGGGCAACACAAACCUUCAGAAGAUCGUGGCAUUUGAGAAUGCUUUUGAAAGAUUGCUGGACAUUGUGCGAGAUGAGGGCAACAGUGAUGGAGGUAUAGUAGUAGAGGAUUGUCUUCUCCUGCUGACUACACUUUUGAAGAAUAACUCGUCCAACCAGAAUUUCUUCCGAGAAAGCAGCUACAUUCAGCGCCUCACCCCCUACUUUGACCUAGAUUCACAGCACACCCAUUCACAGGCAGGCUGGUCUGCCCAGAAAGUGACCAACCUUCAUCUCAUGCUGCAGCUGGUGAGAUGCCUUGUGUCCCCCAACACUCCCCAGCAACAGGUCACGGCCUGUCAGCGGACCAUGUUCCAGUGUGGUUUAUUGAAACAGCUUUGUACGAUUUUGAUGGCCAGUGGGGUUCCUGCUGAUGUCUUGACAGAAACCAUCAAUACCGUUGCAGAGGUCAUAAGAGGGAAUUUACAAAACCAAGAAUAUUUUGCCUCUGUUAUGGCUCCUUCAAAUCCUCCAAGACCUGCCAUAGUUGUUCUGCUGAUGUCUAUGGUGAAUGAGAAGCAGCCCUUCCCCCUGAGGUGUGCGGUACUGUACUGCUUCCAGUCCUUCCUGUAUAAGAACGAGGUGGGCCAGUCUCAGAUCGUCACCACUCUACUGCCCACCUCCUCAGAUGCAAACCAGAUAACAGCUGGACAGUUACUUUGCGGUGGUUUGUUCAGUGCCGACUCCUUAUCCAACUGGUUUGCAGCGGUGGCAAUGUUGCAUGCCAUCCAGGAUAAUGGCACGCAGAAGGAGCAGCUGUUACGAGUGCAGCUAGCAACCAGCAUCGGCAGUCCCCCGGUGUCUCUGUUACAGCAGUGCUGCAAUAUACUGGCACAGGGUGGGAGGUUCCAGACCCGGGUAGGUCUGCUGCAGCUGCUGUGUGCCUGGAUGAUUGACUCGCCCAUCACCGUGGCCCACUUCCUCGCCAACACCGCCAACGUACCAUAUCUAAUUACACAAGUUUCAGCCUCUGACAGUGAUGAGAAUGAAUCCAUUGUGCAGGGUCUGUGUGCAUUCCUCCUGGGGAUUACUGUUCUGUAUAAUGAUGAACAGAAUGAAACAUUUAACAAGAGUUCACUUAGACAAAUUAUUGAAAAAAGAAUAGGACUAGAAACUUUUACAGAAAAAUUAUCACAAGUUCCUAAGAAUGAAAGUUACACGAAAGCAGCGAAAAAACCACACGUUAGCUACAAGCAGUCGAGUGAAGUUACCUUUGAUUAUGAAUUCACAAGAAUAUUUAAAGCUUUAGAGGUGGAUGCUUUAGAUGCUGUAUCAACUGAUGCCGGGAGGAAGGAGAAUAAAGCAAAGUUAGCAAAUCUUCAACAACAUGAACUGGUGGUCAACCAAUAUAAAGACAUCAUACAAGAACAGGAUCAAAGACUGAAUGAUCUCCAGCAGCAGUUCCUAGAACUCCAGUCCAAACAUUCCAUGUCCGGGGAAGAGAUCCGACAGCUGAAGGAUCAGGUGCAACAGCUCAAGGACCAGAACUCCCUGCUCAAAGUUCAAAAAGGUGCUCAGAGUAAUCCAGCAGCUGAUGCCAGAAAGGACGAGGAGAUCCGCUCCCUGCAAGACCAGCUGGAGAAGAUGAGAUUAGACAACGCCAACAAAGACUCGGCCAUAGAGAAAUUAAAAACAGAUGUUACAGUUCUUGAAGCUAGAGUUGUAAAUAGUUCAGAGGAGGAUAAAGAAAAUAUUGUUCCAAGUGAAUCAGAAAUUUUACAAAACACCAUUAGUAGACUUCAAAGUGAUUUACAAGAACUUCGAACAAGUGCAGCAGAAAAAGAUAACGAAAUUAGCCGUCUUAGUGUUCAAAACAAUGAGGCUGAGGGUCAGAUUCAGUCUCUGGUAAGUAUUUGGGAUGUUGAAAGCUUUGAAAAAAUUACCAUCUACAAUUGCUGUAGGUGUUUGUAAGUUUAAUGUAGCACCAUUAUAACACAUAGCCUAAAUAUAUGUAUAUUACAGAAACAAAGAUUAGAGAGCAAUGCUGAAACCCAGGCAGAUCCAGCCCAACUUGCCAAACUAAUGGAGGAAAAAAUGACAUUACAAGAAAGAGUUAAAAAGUCAAACGAAGAGAAUUUAAAGCUACUGGAUAAAUUCAAUAAAAUGGAGGAAGAGAAGAAUAGUGUAGUGAGCGAGAAGGAGGGAGUCCUAGAGGAACUAGAUACGCUGAAGAAGGAACAGGAAGACUUACUGGUGCUGCUGGCUGACCAGGACACAAAGAUUGCCAACUACAAGAAACUACUGAAGGAGAAUAAUAUCCCUGUGGAAGAUGAUGAUGACGAUGAAGAUGAUGAUUUAGAUGACGAUUUGGAUGACGAUUAAACCCAAGAUUGAUUCGACUAAAUUUUAGAAUGGGAAAAAGAUAGUGCAAAAGGAUUUGAUAUUUUACAUGUGCAUGUAAUAUCAAAAACAGGUCAAGUACCUGUAUACCGUAAUGGAGAAAAUGACAGCUUGUUUUAAAGAGAUGAAUCUAGUCUGUGAUAGAAAGAAUGUUUAUAAAAAGUGCAAUUGUUCAAGAACAUUUAUUUGAAAACCAGCAAUUAGUAGUUCCUCAUAGAUUUCUACCAUACACAUGAUACGUGAAAACCAAUCUUCAUGUACAUUAAUGUGUGAGAGAUGGAAGUUUUAGCUAUGUAUGUUUGAAAAUUUAAUGAUUUUAGAAUUAUUUAUUCAAUGCAUGUACAUAUACAUUAUAGUCUUUUUUUGGAUGAUGUAAUGAAAUGGUACAUAUUUAUUGUACGAGGUUGUUAAAAAAUAAAAGCAUAAUUAAAAGAAC